rnacentral:rRNA from 1 species
CCUACGGGUGGCAGCAGUGAGGAAUAUUGGUCAAUGGGCGCAAGCCUGAACCAGCCAAGUAGCGUGAAGGAUGACUGCCCUACGGUUUGUAAACUUCUUUUAUAAAGGAAUAAAGUUAUCCACGUGUGCCUUUUUGUAUGUACUUUAUGAAUAAGCAUCGGCUAACUCCGUGCCAGCAGACGCGGUAAUACGGAGGAUGGGAGCGUUAUCCGGAUUUAUUGGGUUUAAAGGGAGCGUAGAUGGGUCGUUAAGUCAGUUGUGAAAUUUUGCGGCUCAACCGUAAAAUUGCAAUUGAUACUGGUAGCCUUGAGUACGGUUGAGGUAGGCGGAAUUCGUGGUGUAGCGGUGAAAUGCUUAGAUAUCACGAAGAACUCCGAUUGCGAAGGCAGCCUACUAAACUGCCACUGACAUUGAUGCACGAAAGUGUGGGUAUCAAACAGGAUUAGAUACCCUUGUAGUC